GGGGGAUACCUAGUCAGUUGUACAACAGAAAGGGGGAUACCUAGUCAGUUGUACAACAGAAAGGGGGAUACCUAGUCAGUUGUACAACAGAAAGGUGGAUACCUAGUCAGUUGUACAACAGAAAGGGAAAGGGGGGUACCUAGUCAGUUGUACAACAGAAAGGGCGAUACCUAGUCAGUUAUACAACUGAAUGCAUUCAACUGAAAUGUGUCUUCCACAUUUAACCCCUCUGAAUCAGAGAGGUGCAGGGGGCUGACAUAAUUAACGACAGAUUUUUUUUUUUUACCAUUCGGUUACUGGCCCAACCCUCCUACCCGCCAGUGCUUGGUUUGUAAUGAAUAUUAUUAAUCACUUUGAUAAGGUCUGUUGAUUAUAAAAAUGUUUUUGGGGUAACAUAUACUGUUCUCAGAGAGAUUCAACUGCUCAUCUAUACCCAGAGAAUCAGAGUGAUGUCGUUAGGCUGUGAUUUAUCUAUACCCAGAGAAUCAGAGUGAUGUCGUUAGUUUAUGACUCAUCUAUACCCAGAGAUUCAGAGUGAUGUCAUUAGGUUAUGACUCAUCUAUACCCAGAGAAUCAGAGUGAUGUCGUUAGGUUGUGACUCAUCUAUACCCAGAGAUUCAGAGUGAUGUUGUUAGGUUAUGACUCAUCUUUACCGUUAAUCAGAGUGAUGUCAUUAGGUUGACUCAUCUAUACCCAGAGAAUCAGAGUGAUGUCAUUAGGUUGUGACUCAUCUAUACCCAGAGAAUCAGAGUGAUGUCGUUAGGUUGUGACUCAUCUAUACCCAGAGAAUCAGAGUGAUGUCGUUAGGUUCUGACUCAUCUAUACCCAGAGAAUCAGA
ensembl:lncRNA